rnacentral:rRNA from 1 species
UACGUAGGGGGCAAGCGUUGUCCGGAUUUAUUGGGCGUAAAGCGCGCGCAGGCGGUCCUUUAAGUCUGAUGUGAAAGCCCACGGCUCAACCGUGGAGGGUCAUUGGAAACUGGGGGCCUUGAGUACAGAAGAGGAAAGCGGAAUUCCACGUGUAGCGGUGAAAUGCGUAGAGAUGUGGAGGAACACCAGUGGCGAAGGCGGCUUUCUGGUCUGUAACUGACGCUGAGGCGCGAAAGCGUGGGGAGCAAACAGG